rnacentral:misc_RNA from 1 species
UCCCGGUUGGCCCGGGCAGUCUCGUAUGAAAAAUACAACAUACGAUAAGGGUUGCGCUCGUUGCGGGACUUAACCCAACAUCUCACGACACGAGCUGACGACGGCCAUGCAGCACCUGUCACCAGGUUCCUUACGGCACUCCACUGUUUCCAGCGGAUUCCUGGGAUGUCAAGCCUCGGAUAAGGUUCUUCGUGUAGCUUCGAAUUAAACCACAUGCUCCACUGCUUGUGCGGGUCCCCGUCAAUUCCUUUGAGUUUUAAGCUUGCGCUCGUACUCCCCAGGCGGCAUGCUUAUCGCGUUAGCUUCUCAGCCCAAGGGGUCGAUACCUCGAACUAAUAGCAUGCAUCGUUUACGGCGUGGACUAC